GUUAUGUUGGUUCAUGGUCUCCAUCAUGGUCUUCAGCUCAGCACAUUUGUCCUCCAGUGAAUCAUGCUCUGACUGGGCUGCAACUCUCCACACCUGAAACUCUUUCUCCAGAAGCCUGAUCAUAACAUCACAAACACACUGAGGCAUUUCGACUCUACCGUAACCACAGGAGGGAUGGCAGUCAGACCUGUUCCAGGAGCAUUAUGCAUGUCUGGAUCUGCUACAGUGGAGCACUGCAGCACUGGAGAAGGGGCACUACAGACACACACAGACACAUGAAAUCAUCUGUAUGCUGUUAAAUACUCUCUGCACUGGAGCCUGCUCUCAGGGCUCUCUUCCUCUCUGCUUCUCUCCGAGUGUGUCGAGGUACCAAAGCGUGUCGAGCGCUGGAGGCAAGUGACGCCACUGACUCCUUCCAGGAUGGCUGAACAAACCGUAAUAUAUG